CACAGGUCAAGAGCCGUUGUCACUCUCCUGAUGAGUCAAAGGCACGACGGAACUAGUG
rnacentral:hammerhead_ribozyme from 1 species